rnacentral:rRNA from 1 species
AUUGAACGCUGGCGGCAGGCUUAACACAUGCAAGUCGAGCGGGGAAAGGUAGCUUGCUACUUAACCUAGCGGCGGACGGGUGAGUAAUGCUUAGGAAUCUGCCUAUUAGUGGGGGACAACAUCUCGAAAGGGAUGCUAAUACCGCAUACGUACUACGGGAGAAAGCAGGGGACCUUCGGGCCUUGCGCUAAUAGAUGAGCCUAAGUCGGAUUAGCUAGUUGGUGGGGUAAAGGCCUACCAAGGCGACGAUCUGUAGCGGGUCUGAGAGGAUGAUCCGCCACACUGGGACUGAGACACGGCCCAGACUCCUACGGGAGGCAGCAGUGGGGAAUAUUGGACAAUGGGGGGAACCCUGAUCCAGCCAUGCCGCGUGUGUGAAGAAGGCCUUUUGGUUGUAAAGCACUUUAAGCGAGGAGGAGGCUACCGAGAUUAAUACUCUUGGAUAGUGGACGUUACUCGCAGAAUAAGCACCGGCUAACUCUGUGCCAGCCGCCGCCGUAAAAC